rnacentral:rRNA from 1 species
CCUACGGGUGGCAGCAGUGAGGAAUAUUGGUCAAUGGGCGGAAGCCUGAACCAGCCAAGUCGCGUGAGGGAAUAAGGCCCUACGGGUCGUAAACCUCUUUUGCCGGGGAGCAAGGGCGGGGACGUGUCCCGUCCCGGAUAGUACCCGGAGAAAAAGCAUCGGCUAACUCCGUGCCAGCAGCCGCGGUAAUACGGAGGAUGCGAGCGUUCUCCGGAUUUAUUGGGUUUAAAGGGUGCGUAGGCGGGCUUUUAAGUAAGCGGGAAAAAUUCGGGGCUCAACCCCGUCCGGCCGUUGAAACUGGGGGCCUUGAGUGGGCGAGAAGAAGGCGGAAUGCGUGGUGUAGCGGUGAAAUGCAUAGAUAUCACGCAGAACCCCGAUUGCGAAGGCAGCCUUCCGGAGCCCUACUGACGCUGAGGCACGAAAGUGCGGGGAUCGAACAGGAUUAGAUACCCUUGUAGUC